rnacentral:lncRNA from 1 species
CUAAAAGAAAUUAAUUUAAAAUAAAAGGAAAUUCAAUUUUUAAAGAAAAGUUGUCCAGCAACGGAAAUUUUGAGCGAAAUUGAAUUUUUUUAGAAAUCCAAUACUACUUGAGAAACCCAAGUCAGUAAGUUUACAGCCUCGAUUCAAUGCCUUUGAGGUGGAUAAUGAUAGAGCUGAAGCUUUUGGAAGAGAACUGCUUAAUUAUAUUAUUAAUAGACGACAUUUAUAUAGAUACAAACCUAACAGAGUUCUCUACGUUGCAGGAAGACUAAUCCUUUAGAAAUACAAGUUGUUGCAGUAAUGGAGUCCUAAUGAAUAACAAACUGUAAGAGCAGUAAUGAAGUCCUAAUGAAUAACAAACUGUAAGAGCUAUACAUUGAUUUAUCAUGCCCCCUCAAGAUGGACCACGAUCGGAGAGGCCAAUCUUGUCACGAAACAAAUGAAAUGUAGACGUAGACAGGGGUUUGGUCAGAAGGUCCGCAAGUUGAUCAGCAGAUGAAACGUGAGUUACACGUAACUGACCAGAUUGAACUUGAUCGCGAAUGAAAUGGUAGUCGACUGCAACAUGUUUCAUGCGAGAAUGAAAAAUAGGAUUGGAACUUAAUUGAGUUGCUCCUAUGUUAUCACAGUAUAUCACAGGUGAGGAAGACAGAGCAACACCAAGUUCAUGAAGUAGAGAUUGUACCCAACAGAGUUCAGCAGCAGUGGCAGCAACGGAGCGAUACUCAGCCUCUGUUGAAGACCUGGCAAUGGUCUUUUGUUUCUUUGAACUCCAAGAAAUUAAAUUACUUCCAAGAUAAACUAGAUAAGCACUAGUGGAUGAAUAAUCAUCUUUAUUGCCAGCCCAAUCGGCAUCUGAAAAGGCAUGAAGUUGAUCAGCGAAGUCAUGAAGAUUGGAGGGCGAGUCACGGUGCAGAAGAAGGCCUUUGUUUAGUGUACCAACAAGGUAUCGCAGAAUUCGUUUAACAAGUAUCCAGUGAUCAUCGGUUGGGCUGUGCAUGAAUUGAGACAGUUUGUUCACAGCAAAGGACACAUCUGGUCUUGUAAGUGAAAGAUACUGAAGGCUCCCUACCACUUCACGAUAAAUUGUGGGAUUCUGUAGCGGUGAACCAGACAACAAUGAAAUAGCAGAGGCAGAGCUUGGAAUCGGAGUGAGCACUGGUUUUGCGUCCAACAUGUUGAGACGAGUUAGCAGGUCAGUAAUGUACUUGCGUUGAGAGAGUAGAAUACCAUGUUUGUGAGGAAGAACUUCAACACCCAAGAAGUAGGACAAAUUGCCAAGAUCUUUAAGAGAAAAACGUUUGGCAAGACUGGAAACAAAAACUGAUAGAAUGUUGUCACUGCUGCCUGUGACAAUAAUGUCAUCCACGUAAACCAGCAAAAACAGAACAUGUUGAGCACUGUGAAAUGUGAACAGAGAAGGAUCAGAGUAGGAAUUGCAGAAACCAGAAGCCAACAGAAAUGUGCGCAAUUCAUGAUACCAAGCCCGGGGCGCCUGUUUGAGUCCAUAAAUGGCCUUGUGAAGUUUGCAGACAAAUGACGGUUUGUCACGAUCAACAAAUCCAGGAGGUUGCACCAUGUAAACGGUUUCAGAGAGAUGACCUUGAAGGAAAGCAUUGUUGAUAUCCAGCUGUUUAAGUGACCAUCCGCGACUGACAGCAAGACUGAGUACCAAGCGGACAGUGGUUGGCUUCACAACGGGGCUGAAAGUCUCAUGAUAGUCUACACCGGGACGCUGGUGGAACCCUUUUGCAACAAGUCGUGCUUUAAAUCUGUUUAUGGAUCCAUCAGAAAGUCUUUUAAUGCGGUAAACCCACCUGCAACCAACAACGUUAGUGAUACCAUCAGGAGGAACAAGUUCCCAUGUGCCAUUGCAGACUAAAGCAUCAUAUUCCUCAGACAUGGCAGCUCGCCAGUUUGGAUCUUUAAGUGCCUGAGAGAGGAUGGAAGGUUCUGUUGGAGAGAUGACCGGUUUAGUAGUGUGAAGACUGAGUUUCUGGAUUGGUUUGUGGAUAUUAUUCCGGGACCGAGUGAUCAUGGGGUGUAGGGAAUGUUGUGGUGGUGGUGGAACAGGUAGAGAUGGAUCUUGAAGUGAAGGAUUAUGGUGAGAGGAUGAAGCAGUUACCUGUGAAGUAGAUAUGAUGGAAGGGAUUGCUCCAGCAUGUGUGGAAGGACUUGAUGAAGGGACCAUAGGAGGAGAUGCAUCUGCAUGGCAUUGUGAGGAAGGAGCAGAAGGAGCCAGUUGCUGUGGGGUUUGAGAUGAGACAGAAAUAGGUGAAGGCAUCCAGUCGGAAACGGGGGAAGGAAGAUUUGAAGGUGCAGUAGGAUAAGAUUUAUAAGGAAAAACUGACUCAACAAAUUGUACAUGCCGUGAAAUAUGUAGUUUGUUAUUGGAUUUGUCAAGGCAUAGAUAUGCACUUUGAGAAAGGGAGUAUCCAAGAAAAACACAGGGUUGAGAUUUCGACUCAAGUUUAUGAGAUGCAUAUGGACCUAACCAAGGAUAACAUAAACAACCAAACACUUUAAGUUUAGAAAAAUUGGGACUCUUGUGAAAAAUUGACUCGUAUGGUGAAGACAUGUUUAAUGUGGGAGUAGGCAUCCUGUUAAUUAGGUAAACGGCAGUGGUGAAGGCAUAAGUCCAAAAAGUAGUAGGGAUUGAGGCAUGAGAAAGAAGGGCAAGUCCAGUUUCGACAAUGUGAAGAUGUCGCCGUUCAGAAUAACCAUUAUGUUCAGGUGUAUGUGGUGGGGACGUGAGAUGACUAAUUCCAUGUUCGGAAAGAAAUGGUUUGAGAGCAAUGUAUUCACCACCAUUAUCAGAAUAAAGAGAAAUAAUGGUUUGUUGAAAAUAUUUUUCAACAAUUGCUUUGUAGCGUCGAAACACUAUUUGGACAUCAGAUUUGCGUUUUAAUGGAUAAAACCAAAUGUAUUUUGUAAAAUGAUCAACAAAAAUAACAUAGUAUUUAUAACCAUCGUGUGAAAUAAUAGGAGAAGUCCAAACAUCUGAAAAUACAACUUGAAGAGGACGCGUAGUGUGCAAAGUAGACACAGAAAAUGGUUGUUUAUGACUUUUAUUACUUAAGCAAGCAUCGCAACAAAAAUUCUUUUGAGAAGAAAAAUUUAAAUGAUAGAAGGACAUGAUAUGUUUAAGAAUUGUGGAGGCUGGAUGACCAAGGCGCUGGUGCCAAAUGGACAUUGUUGUUUUGACAGCAGAGAAGGCUAGAAUGGGAGGAGUAGAAGAGGUCGCAACUGGCCAUUCAUAAAUACCAUUCUUAGUGCCGCCCUGCAGAAGAAUGUCCCCCGUUUGUAGGUCCUUCACAUGAAAACAAUGAGGAAAAAGUUCAAUCGACACAUUGUUGGUGAUACAGAAUAAUGCAAUAGAUAUUAAAUUUUUUUGCAUUUUUGGAACACACAAAACAUCUUGUAAGUGGAAAGAAGAGUUAGAUGUGGGAAGGGAUACUGAACCAGUGUGACUUAUGGGAAGGUUGGUACCAUCGCCUAGUAUAACAUCAUCAUGACCAGUAUAUGGUGUAUGGAGGGAAAGAUUAUUGAGGUCGGCAGUAACAUGAUGGGAAGCACCACUAUCCAGUAACCAUGACGCAGCGGUGGAUGGUGAUGAAGAAGAAAAAUUGGCUUGAGGAUUCCAGGAGGAUGGCAUACCAUUGGAGGAGCUGGCAGAGUUAGAACCAUGAACAGGAACUAAUUGAAAAGAAGGACAACGUUUAGCGGUGUGUCCUUGAGUGCCACACAUCUGGCAGUAAUAGGACCAAGACGAGAGGAUUGUGACCGUGUUUGAAGUGAUGCUUCAAACAAGAGAAGUUUCUCAUGGAGUUCAUCAAAGGAGAUAGCAGCUUCGCGAGCUUGGACAGCCCGAACAAGUUCUGUGUAAUCUUCAUCUAAACCAUCAAGGAUCUGUUCAGUAAGAUCAUCAGUAUCCAUAGGAGCACCAAGAACAGUAAGUUCGUCAGAUUUUGCUUUAAUGAAGUGGACAAAAUCUGUGAUACUCAUAGAACCUUUUGUGAGAUUCUUUAACUGGUUUUUCACCUGGCGAAUACGUCCACGUGAUGGUUUAGCAUAUGUUGUGGCAAGAACAUGCCAAGCAUCAUAAGAAGAAGUGGUGCGGGCUACAAAGGAAAUAAGCGAAGGAGAAAGACUGCCAACAAUGGCAUUCAAGAGAAGUUGAUCUUGCCUUACCCAGAGACUAUAGGCAGGAUUAGGGACAGUGAUAUUAUCUGUUACAAGGGUUGGUGAGGGACACGGCUUGGAGCCAUCGAUGUAACCAAGAAGAUCGUAGCCAAUAAAUAGUGUUUCAAAUUGAAUUUUCCAAGAAGCAUAGUUGGAAGAGGUGAGUUUGAGAAGGGCUUGAGCAGCUGUGUUUAUGGUGAUAAGAUGGUUUUCUGUGUUUGAAGGAAUGGAAGUUGACAUGGUGAUGGGAAGAGGGAAGAAACAGAAUUGAAGAGGAAUGGAGAGAAAAAAGAGAAAAAAAAUAAAGGAUCAGAGACGCUCUGAUACCAUGAUAGAGCUGAAGCUUUUGGAAGAGAACUGCUUAAUUAUAUUAUUAAUAGACGACAUUUAUAUAGAUACAAACCUAACAGAGUUCUCUACGUUGCAGGAAGACUAAUCCUUUAGAAAUACAAGUUGUUGCAGUAAUGGAGUCCUAAUGAAUAACAAACUGUAAGAGCAGUAAUGAAGUCCUAAUGAAUAACAAAUUGUAAGAGCUAUACAUUGAUUUAUCAGAUAAAUCUUGAUCCCCGAUGAGAUUAGCCUUGGUAUAAACAUGCAUGAUAUGCACAAUGGGAGUUUCUUUCUUUCCUUUUCCCUUAAGGAUCCUCAAAGUACAUUCUUGUUAUAUAAGAAAGAAAAAGAAGCAAAAAAUGUUUUCGUGCCGGCACAUCGCAUCAAGCAUAAAGGCAGCAGCACAGUUCUGCCGCCUUAUAUUAUUCCCAAAGGGGCCAGCCUUGCCGAUCGAUAUGUUUCUGAAACUACCUAGCAAGGGCACCACUAUCUAUUCAACUUUUCUAUUAAUUGAUGAAAGUGUACGUAUAUAUAUCAUAAACACUUGAUUUCUUCAACACAGCUCUUGAUGGACCUGCCAUGCCAGGCCAUGAGAAACAUGAUUAAAAGAUCGGUAGAAGAAAUGUGCCCAUCACUUGGAAAUUAGAUUGGAAAGUUGAUUUGAUGAAGCAUCAGCAAG